CAGUGUGGGUAAGGUUCGGGUUAGGCAUUCGGCUUAGCAGUGUGGUUAGGGUUAGGCAUUCGGCUUAGCAGUGUGGUUAAGGUUAGGGUUAGGCAUUCGGCUUAGCAGUGUGGUUAAGGUUAGGGUUAGGCAUUAGGCUUAGCAGUGUGGUUACGGUUAGGGUUAGGCAUUAGGCUUAGCAGUGUGGUUAAGGUUAGGAUUAGGCUUAGCAGUGUGGUCACAGUUAGGGUUAGGCAUUAGGCUUAGCAGUGUGGUUAAGGUUAGGCAUUAGGCUUAGCAGUGUGGUUAAGGUUAGGGUUAGGCAUUAGGCUUAGCAGUGUGGUUAAGGUUAGGGUUGGGUUUAAUCACGUUGUGUCUCUGCCAGCUAGUGACCACUCUGCUGCCCCCAGAACAAGACUCAUAAUGAAAAACGCUAACAUGUGUCAACAUGUGUUUAUUUGUGCUCAGAUCUGAACCAUUGACAAACAUGUUUAGUUGUCUUUUUUAAGCAGGGAAACCAGUAAUCGCUAAAUAUAUUUAAUAUCUCCGUUGGUCUAAAAUGGCACAUGUUUUAUAAUGCCUCAAUUCCUUUUUU